UCUGUCAGACAAUGUUUCCAACCAGAGGCUGUUUACGCAGUUAAAUGGUUGGUUCAGAGUCUUCCUUUUGCCUCAGGAGUCUGUCUGGUGGCUGGCUCGCAGCCAGCUUCUACACAAUCCCCUCUCUCUGACCCUGCAUCUUCAAUGCCGCCAUGCUGCUGAGCCGGCCGCUGCUUCUCGGUGAAAUCCUAGUUCUAGCUCCCUCCAGAGUCAACUGGUUUGGCUAUUUGAAAGCCGCUCUUUCAGCGAACCCUUCUUUGUCAUUUCAGAAAUGAACCCUGCUUUCCAGCACCUGGGCUGGACAGGGUUCUCCUGGCUUGCUAACUGCAGCAGCUGUUUUCUGUCCCCAGUAAGAGCCAGGGUGACAUACCUACCCGCCCAGAGCCACCCUCGGCAGGAGACUCAGGGAGAAGUGCCCCCAGGGCCAAAUUUCCUGAGAUGCUCUGUGGUUCUGUAUGGCUGUUACUCACCAGGAUCUCUAGAGACAGCCCAUCUCCCUCCCUCAACUGAUGUCACCAAAUUCUGAAUGAAAACAACUCCAGGCAAAUAAUGUUCACCACUCCACUUCCUUGUUCCUCCACACCUGCUACUUUGGAUUCAGAAGAGAAUUUCCAAGAAUCCCUGAGUCCACAGCCUGACUCUGGUUUGCAGAACCUGUGUCCAGACCAGCCAGAUGUGAAUACAAAGGAAAGUGACACAUCCUGGAUCUCAACCCACUUCGUUGGGAAGUCUUCCUGAUAAAUUUAGAGAUAACCCAAAGCCCUGGGGACUUCCUCUUGAUUUGAAUCUGCUCUACAUCUGCCCCAUGUCCCCCACCCACAGCAGAUGAAAACAUCAACUCUGCAGAAUUAAUGGAUAUGGGAAUCACCUGGGGACUUCUCGUUAAACUGCAAAUCAUGAUUCAGAGGGUCUGGGGAGGGACCUGAGACUCUGCACUUCUAACAAGCUUGACCGGGGCUGGAGAACCUUCCAUCACUCCACCAAUGCUCACCAUCACUGCCAUUCUCGCUCUUCUUUCUCGGGCCCUUGCCCAUUUUCUCCACCGUAUCCUUCUUUUAUCCUAUUCUUUUCCUCUUUUCAUCCUUCUUUUUUUCUUCCCAGCCAUCUCACUAUUCCUAUAUCCCUACUAACCCCCCAACACUUCUUCACUCAAAGAUAAAGAAACUCCUACCCUUUCUUCCUCCAGACACUCAUCUCCCUCCCUCUUCUCCUCAGCUUUGUAGUGCCAGGAAAAGAAAGAUCACCAUUUAUUGACAAUUUUGUGUGAAGCACUGUCCCAAGUGCAUUACCCAUAUUGUUUAAUUCUCACAACAACCCUGCAAAGUACACAUUAUUUCUGCCAUUUUAGACAUGAGAAAAUUGAGACUUGGGAUGGUUAAAGAAAUCUUGUCCUUAACUAGGAAGUAGUGAGCUAAGAUUAGAAUUUAGAUCCGUCUGAGACCAAAGUCUACAACUUUUAUACUGCACCAUGCUCAUGUAAGGUGAAUAAUCUAGAAAGCAGCUGGUAGGAGUGGCUUCAGCAAAAAGGAAUGGAAUACCACAAGCUUCACCCCAUUUAUGCAUCCUGAACACUUCACUCCACUUUUGCUAAGUAGAUGCCCUAUGAGACAGCUUGACAUACCAAUAAUGAGAGCUGUUUCAAGAAUGCCCAGAUUAAAAUGAUGGUUGGGACCUAAAUAGCACAGUAGUAAUAUUAAAGCCCAAAGUUGCCAAUAUGCUCAAUUUUCAAUGUAACCUUUUAUUAUAAAUUAAGAUCCAUAACUGUACGCACAGAGUCUGUUACCAAAAAAGAAAUUCCUUCCAUUGGCCAAGUAUUCAACCACAUGAAGUCUACCAAAGGACAGUGCCAAGCCUCCCAUCAGUCCACACAGGAUCCAUCUUGGACGGAUAGCCAGUUUCUUUCUCUGUCUCUAGUUUCUCUUCCUUGAUUUCACCUCUAGGAUCCCCUCACUCUCUUAUUGUCCUUUGUCUUGUCCUCAAGAUCCUGCCAAGAGUCCUGGCUUCCCACCGGGGAGCAUGUACCAGUUCUUCAAACCUUUGUGUGUUUCUGACACCUCAGACUACAGCAUCUACAAGAUAGACAAAGAGUUCUCUUGCUUAUACUGGCCCUCUCCCUCCCUUGACUUUUAUCAGAUACACCAAAACAAAACAAAAAAUUCCUUUUAAAUUCUGUUAAAGAUCCUGCAAGAUGGGAAGGGAGGAGAAAAGGCAGGGGCUGUGUAUGAGGAAAAUUCCAUCUUGACAUACAAAAAUAUUAAAAGUCUAUAUACUCAAAGGAGAAGUGAAGAAUCAGACUUUUGCAUGUGGAACAGACAGGGAAACUGGGAGCAAUAUGGUGUAGUCAUCAGAUGUGGGUUCUAAAUUCAUCUCUGCUACUAACCGGCAGUGCAACCUUGGGUAAGCUGUGCAUUUUUCUCAAUACCAGUUUCUUCAUCUUUAAAGUGUGGAGAUUGGAUUGAACAAUUACUAAGAUUCCUUUGAUCUCUACCCUGCAGUGUCUUCUCUGGCAUCUAAAAUAAAAUAAACCAGAAAUUAAUGAAAGAGUGAAAAUAAUAUUGCUGCAUCCAGACUUGGAUACUUGAUUGAGUCAGUGCAUGAAAACAAGAAGGUAAAGAAACAAUGAUUAAUAAUGAUAAAUGAGUAAUAAUAAGAAUAAAAUACAAAAAAAUUAAAUAAAGACAAAAAUGAAUGAGCCUAUAGUUUUGCUUUUUAAAAAGAUGUUAAAUUCCCUACCAAAGUGGCCAUUCAUUAUCCAUAGUUAUCAGUUACUGUAAAAUACAUUAUUGGGACAAUGUAUAUUCUAUGCAGAAGUAUAUUGCCACUUAAAAACAUUGUUUUCCAAUAAAAGCACUGAGUUAUAAAAUCAACCAACAUUUUUAUUCUGAACUAUGGUAGGUAGAUAAGAAAUAAAAUUAGGUCAACAUGAAAAAUUUCCUUCAUGGCAGGUUACGGAAUUUAAAGUACGUGAUAUUUUCCCUCUUUGAAGUUGACAUGUAAUUAUGUUUGCUUUAUGCCAAGUUAUCUGCCCCUAAAUGUUCCAAACUGAAAAAGGGAAAACAAAGCCUGCCUGUAGCUGCUUCUUCCUUCAUAUACACACCAGGCCAAAAGACAGAAUGGUCGGAGGCAUGGUCUCUAAGUGUGUGAUUUGGGGGAGGCCUACCCACCCUAAAAGUGUAAGGGCAAAAAUGUAUCUCUUUGUGUUUUGGAGCUGACUGGCUCAGUAAAACUUUGUAAGUCAGUCUGCACGUACACCACUUCCUCAGUCUUAUAAGUGAGGACGUCCUCCUGCAUCUGGCCCUUAGGAACCUGACCUCUCCUGAUUGGUCAUCACUUAUUUUCUGGGAAGCAGCCUUCAUCAGCCCAAACCCUUCCUGCAGAAGGAUGCCCCAGCCUGUCUACUCAGGGGGUGCCUUGGCCAGGAGAAACAUUUUUUUGACGAUGUUCUUCUCAUUCUCUUCCUUCUGUAACCCCAUCAGGUACCCAUGGCCUCUAUGCCAAAAUCACAGGUGAAAAAUAUAUUUUGAUUAUUUGGCCUAGAUUCUCUCCAGAC
ensembl:lincRNA